GAAUGUCAAAACGACUCUCGGCAACGGAUAUCUCGGCUCUCGCAUCGAUGAAGAACGUAGCGAAAUGCGAUACUUGGUGUGAAUUGCAGAAUCCCGUGAACCAUCGAGUCUUUGAACGCAAGUUGCGCCCGAAGCCUUCGGGCCGAGGGCACGCCUGCCUGGGCGUCACGCAUCG
rnacentral:rRNA from 1 species